CUCGUUCGUCUCGUCGAAAAUAAAAAGAACCCCAUCCUCGAGCUCAAGGUCCGGCCGCCGGCGAGGCCUACGCACAAGAUCCGGCCGCCGGCUCUGCCCCCUCCGCCGCUCUGCGGCUCCGCUGCUCUACUCUCCCCCCGCCGCUUGCUCCGUUGCACCCCUCAGCCCCCGCGCCCCUCCCUCCGCCGUGGCUCUGCUCCCCGGCGCCGCUCCCUCCGGCGCUGCUCGGCUCCCCCGCGCCCGCUCCAUUCCUCGCGCCCUGAAGCCACCACGCCGCCGCACUGCUCCCUCCGCCGCGCCCCGAAGCCACCGGACCGCUCCCCUCCUACUCCUCCAUGCUGCUGCCCUCCUCCUCCGUGUCGUUCCACCGUGCCGUGCCCUCUGCCGCCACUCUGCUCCGACCGAGCAGUGGAGAGGAGACGGAAGACAGGUCGAUCCCAAAUCUACGCUAUGGACUUGGCGGAUGAUGAAGAAGACGACACCUCCGACAACUACAUUGAUGAUGGAUAUGUUGCACCUGUGAGUUCUAAUGUUGAAGGACCGGAUGAAUCAUUUUUCAUAUAAUUCUUGGAUCACGAGCACCUGGAGAAUAUGAGCAAGUCAUUCGACCUCACCAGCAGGAGCCAUCCUGGUUGUGGCCUCUGUAGACGUCGCACUAAUUUAUUUUUGCAAUUUAUCCAAAUGAAUCAGAAAAACUGCUUAUAGUUCCUGGAUAUUUGUUCAAGUGAACUGAUUGCAUAUUUUCCGAAAUAUAUAGUUGUGUUUCUGAAUCAGUUUGAGUUUCAGUAAACUGAAUCAGUUUCA